rnacentral:rRNA from 1 species
AUUGAACGCUGGCGGCAGGCCUAACACAUGCAAGUCGAGCGGUAACACAGAGGAGCUUGCUCCUUGGGAGACGAGCGGCGGACGGGUGAGUAAUGCCUGGGGAUCUGCCCGAUAGAGGGGGAUAACUACGGGAAACUGUAGCUAAUACCGCAUAAUGUCUACGGACCAAAGUGGGGGCUCUUCGGACCUCAUGCUAUCGGAUGAACCCAGGUGGGAUUAGCUAGUUGGUGAGGUAAUGGCUCACCAAGGCGACGAUCUCUAACUGGUUUGAGAGAAUGACCAGUCACACUGGAACUGAGACACGGUCCAGACUCCUACGGGAGGCAGCAGUGGGGAAUAUUGCACAAUGGGCGCAAGCCUGAUGCAGCCAUGCCGCGUGUGUGGAGAAGGCCUUCGGGUUGUAAAGCACUUUCAGCGGGGAGGAAGGGUCACUAGUUAAUACCUAGUGGCAUUGACGUUACUCGCAGAAGAAGCACCGGCUAACUCCGUGCCAGCCGCCGCCGUAA